rnacentral:lncRNA from 1 species
ACCUUAUUGAGAAUCGACCAUUGGGGUUGAGCUUCCAGAUAAUAUAGUCAUCUCUGUAUGGAAAACAGCAAAAAGAAUUGAGCUGCUGCAGCAAGGCAAAAAACUGGCAUUCCAUGGCUUCGUCAACCCUUCUCACCAUCAAGCUAAUCUUCCAAAUACAGUUUAGACCCUGACCUUCGACCAUCUCAAAGAUCAAAGCGUGUUUAGCAUCAGCCCACCGAUAGAUGUUCGGAAAUUGGAUUCUAAGGGGAACAUCACCUAGCACCAGUGGCCAAACCAUAAUUUAGUGCAGAAGCCAUUCCCCACCUUCAUUCUACUAUAAAAUAGAAAGAGAGAUCGAACCGAAUUAAUCCGUUUCCACAUCAUAGUAUGCUUUCUGCACACUCAUUCAAUAAAAGUUUUUAACCUUGUCAAAAUUUUGUUCAUUUAUUUUAUGAAAAGCAUUUUGUGUUCAAAGGUAGUUAAGAGUGGGUCCUUAGAAUGUAUUAAAAUUUAGGAGUUUAUUUUUAUAUUUUAUGGAUUAGAUGUGGGACAUGUAAG